rnacentral:rRNA from 1 species
GCAGGCUGCAACUCGCCUGCAUGAAGUCGGAAUUGCUAGUAAUCGUGGAUCAGCAUGCCACGGUGAAUACGUUCCCGGGCCUUGUACACACCGCCCGUCACACCAUGGGAGCCGGUAAUACCCGAAGUCAGUAGUCCAACCUCGUGAGGACGCUGCCGAAGGUAGGAUUGGCGACUGGGGUGAAGUCGUAACAAGGUAAC